GUGUCAGCAGCCGCGGUAAUACGGAGGAUGCGAGCGUUAUCCGGAUUUAUUGGGUUUAAAGGGUGCGUAGGCGGGAGAUUAAGUCAGCGGUGAAAGUUUGAGGCUCAACCUUAAAAUUGCCGUUGAAACUGGUUUUCUUGAGUAUAUUUGAAGUAGGCGGAAUUCGUGGUGUAGCGGUGAAAUGCAUAGAUAUCACGAAGAACCCCAAUUGCGCAGGCAGCUUACUAAACUAUAACUGACGCUGAGGCACGAAAGCGUGGGUAUCAAACAGGAUUAGAUACCCUGGUAGUCC
rnacentral:rRNA from 1 species